rnacentral:piRNA from 1 species
UAUGAUAUGGGUCUUGUUUUUGUUGGAUG